GACGUAGGGCGCGAGCGUUGUCCGGAUUUAUUGGGCGUAAAGAGCUCGUAGGCGGCUUGUCGCGUCGACUGUGAAAUCCCGCGGCUCAACUGCGGGUCUGCAGUCGAUACGGGCAGGCUAGAGUUCGGUAGGGAGACUGGAAUUCCUGGUGUAGCGGUGAAAUGCGCAGAUAUCAGGAGGAACACCGGUGGCGAAGGCGGGUCUCUGGGCCGAUACCGAGCGCUGAGGAGCGAAAGCGUGGGGAGCGAACAGG
rnacentral:rRNA from 1 species